UUUCAUUUUUUCGUGUCCAACGUUUGACCAUUCGUCUUAUUUGAAAUUUUUUUUACGAUUAAUAUUUUAUUGUUACUAGAUGAUAAAAUAUGAAUAGUACUUUAUACGUGACUAAUUUUUUUUAAGUUUUUGCACAAAUUUUUCAAAUAAAACGAAUGGUCAAACGUUGGACACGGAAAAAC
rnacentral:pre_miRNA from 1 species